rnacentral:tRNA from 1 species
GUGGGUAUAGCUCAGUGAUAGAGCUCAUGCCUAGCAUGCACAAGGUCUUGGGUUCAAUCCCCAGUACCGCCA